rnacentral:rRNA from 1 species
AACGAACGCUGGCGGCGCGCUUAACACAUGCAAGUCGAACGAGAAGGCGUAGCAAUACGCUUGUACAGUGGCGAACGGGUGAGUAAUACGUGGGCGACCUACCCUCGAGUGGGGAAUAACCCGCCGAAAGGCGGGCUAAUGCCGCGUACGCUUCCAUCUUUAUGGAGGUGGAAGGAAAGCCGUGCCGUGGGCACGGCGCUCAAGGAUGGGCUCACGUCCUAUCAGCUUGUUGGAGGGUAACGGCCUACCAAGGCUCCGACGGGUAGCUGGUCUGAGAGGACGAUCAGCCACACUGGCACUGCGACACGGGCCAGACUCCUACGGGAGGCAGCAGUGAGGAAUAUUGCGCAAUGGGCGAAAGCCUGACGCAGCGACGCCGCGUGGGGGAUGAAGGUCUUCGGAUUGUAAACCCCUUUCGGGA